rnacentral:rRNA from 1 species
ACUCCUACGGGAGGCAGCAGUGGGGAAUAUUGCACAAUGGGGGAAACCCUGAUGCAGCCAUGCCGCGUGUGUGAAGAAGGCCUUCGGGUUGUAAAGCACUUUCAGUAGGGAGGAAGGUAGUGUAGUUAACACCUGCACUAUUUGACGUUACCUACAGAAGAAGCACCGGCUAACUCCGUGCCAGCAGCCGCGGUAAUACGGAGGGUGCGAGCGUUAAUCGGAAUUACUGGGCGUAAAGCGCAUGCAGGCGGCCUGUUAAGUCAGAUGUGAAAGCCCGGGGCUUAACCUCGGAAUUGCAUUUGAAACUGGCAGGCUAGAGUCUUGUAGAGGGGGGUAGAAUUUCAGGUGUAGCGGUGAAAAUGCGUAGAGAUACUGAAGGAAUACCAGUGGCGAAGGCGGCCCCCUGGACAAAGACUGACGCUCAGAUGCGAAAAGCGUGGGGAGCAAAACAGG